rnacentral:rRNA from 1 species
AGGGCACCACCAGGAGUGGAGCCUGCGGCUUAAUCUGACUCAACACGGGGAAACUUACCCGGCCUGGACACUGGAAGGAUUGACAGAUUGAGAGCUCUUUCUUGAUUCAGUGGGUGGUGGUGCAUGGCCGUUCUUAGUUGGUGGAGCGAUUUGUCUGGUUAAUUCCGAUAACGAACGAGACUCUAGCUUAUUAAAUAGGCUCCCGGCUUUUAAACGCCGGGAGGACUUCUUAGAGGGACAGGUGGCGGUUCAGCCGCGCGAAAGAGAGCAAUAACAGGUCUGUGAUGCCCUUUGUUGUCCGGGGCCGCACGCGCGCUACACUGAAGAGAUCAGCGUGCUUUAUGUUCCUGCUCCGACCGGAGUGGGGAACCCAGUGAACCUUCUUCGUGAUUGGGAUAGAAGAUUGUAAUUAUUCUUCUUGAACGAGGAAUUCCCAGUAAAUGCGAGUCAUAAGCUCGCGUUGAUUACGUCCCUGCCCUUUGUACACACCGCCCGUCGCUACUACCGAUUGAACGAUUU